rnacentral:rRNA from 1 species
CCUACGGGAGGCAGCAGUAGGGAAUAUUGCUCAAUGGGGGAAACCCUGAAGCAGCAACGCCGCGUGGAGGAUGAAGGUUUUCGGAUUGUAAACUCCUUUUGUUAGGGAAGAUAAUGACGGUAUCUAACGAAUAAGCACCGGCUAACUCCGUGCCAGCAGCCGCGGUAAUACGGAGGGUGCAAGCGUUACUCGGAAUCGCUGGGCGUAAAGAGGGCGUAGGCGGGAUAGCAAGUCAGAUGUGAAAUCCUAUGGCUUAACCAUAGAACUGCAUUUGAAACUGGUAGUCUAGAGUAUGGGAGAGGUAGGUGGAAUUCUUGGUGUAGGGGUAAAAUCCGUAGAGAUUAAGAGGAAUACUCAUUGCGAAGGCGACCUGCUAGAACAUAACUGACGCUGAGGCGCGAAAGCGUGGGGAGCAAACAGGAUUAGAUACCCCUGUAGUC